rnacentral:misc_RNA from 1 species
UCCGGUUUACACCGGCGGUCUCCUGUGAGUGCCCAUCUUUCAUGCUGGUAACACAGGACGAGGGUUGCGCUCGUUGGCGGACUUAACCGUACACCUCACGGCACGAGCUGACGACAGCCAUGCAACAAGUGUCUUCAGGUCUCCUUGUGGGAGAGGGCCCCCUUUCAGGGGCUUACCAUCGAUGUCAAGUCUGGGUAAGGUUCUUCGGUUAGUAUCGAAUUAAUCCACAUGCUCCACCGCUUGUGCGGGUCCCCGUCAAUUCAUUUGAGUUUCAACCUUGCGGCCGUACUCCCCAGGCGGGAUACUUAAUGCGUUAGCUGCGGCACGAGAGGGGUCGAUACCUCUCACGCCUAGUAUCCAUCGUUUAGGGCGUGGACUAC